rnacentral:rRNA from 1 species
AUUGAACGCUGGCGGCAGGCCUAACACAUGCAAGUCGAACGAGUGGCGGACGGGUGAGUAAUGUCUGGGAAACUGCCUGAUGGAGGGGGAUAACUACUGGAAACGGUAGCUAAUACCGCAUACCAUCAGAUGUGCCCAGAUGGGAUUAGCUAGUUGGUGGGGUAACGGCUCACCAAGGCGACGAUCCCUAGCUGGUCUGAGAGGAUGACAAGCAACACGGGAACGGAGACAGGGUCCAGAUCCCUACGGGAGGAAGAAGUGGGGAAUAUGGGACAAGGGGGGAAAGCCUGAUGAAGCCAUGCCGAGUGUAUGAAGAAGGCCUUCGGGUUGUAAAGUACGUUCAGAGGGGAGGCGUUACCCGAAGAAGAAGCACCGGCUAACUACGUGCCAGCAGCCGCGGUAAUAC